GUGCUUGCUUUGGCAGCACAUAUACUAAAAUUGGAAUAAUAUAGAGAAGAUUAGCAUGGCCUCUGCUCAAAGAUGACAUGCAAAUUUGUAAAGAAUGUCAUGUUACU